AAGGUUGACAUUUAUUCAACUUUUUUGUAUAAUAAUUAAGUAUACUUGUUAUACUAUAGCAAUAAAAUUACCUUGUAAUAGGUGUAUUGGACCCGAGGGCAGUACUCGGCGCCUCCACCAUUUUUGUCCAUGGGGGCGAGUCAGGAUCGACAUGCAUAGUAAAGAUGGUAGCUUUGCUCGGUUAGAUACCACCGCUAAGAGUUCAUAAUUUAAAUGCAAACGAUAACGUUAGCUCCGAUUGUGGUAAUGUGGCACUUGCUGCUUAAUUCAGCACAGUAACUUUAUUACUAUGAACACGGUUUGGGAAACACCGGGUAACAGAAGUUUCCCAAG
rnacentral:tmRNA from 1 species